rnacentral:rRNA from 1 species
AGGAAUUGGCGGGGGAGCACCACAACGGGUGGAGCCUGCGGUUUAAUUGGACUCAACGCCGGGCAGCUCACCGGAUAGGACAGCGGAAUGAUAGCCGGGCUGAAGACCUUGCUUGACCAGCUGAGAGGAGGUGCAUGGCCGUCGUCAGUUCGUACUGUGAAGCAUCCUGUUUAGUCAGGCAACGAGCGAGACCCACGCCAACAGUUGCUAGCAUGUUCUCCGGAAUGAUGAGGACACUGUUGGGACCGCCUCUGCUAAAGAGGAGGAAGGAAUGGGCAACGGUAGGUCAGCAUGCCCCGAAUUAUCCGGGCUACACGCGGGCUACAAUGGUCAGGACAAUGGGAAACGGCACUGAAAAGUGUAGUCAAUCUCCUAAACCUGUCCCAAGUUCGGAUUGUGGGCUGCAACUCGCCCACAUGAAGCUGGAAUCCGUAGUAAUCGCGUUUCAAAAUAGCGCGGUGAAUAAGUCCCUGCUCCUUGCACACA